rnacentral:rRNA from 1 species
GUCUGGUCUGUAAAUGACGCUGAGGCUCGAAAGCAUGGGUAGCGAACAGGAUUAGAUACCCUGGUAGUCCAUGCCGUAAACGAUGAAUGCUAGGUGUUGGAGGGUUUCCGCCCUUCAGUGCCGCAGCUAACGCAUUAAGCAUUCCGCCUGGGGAGUACGACCGCAAGGUUGAAACUCAAAGGAAUUGACGGGGGCCCGCACAAGCGGUGGAGCAUGUGGUUUAAUUCGAAGCAACGCGAAGAACCUUACCAGGUCUUGACAUCUUUUGAUCACCUGAGAGAUCAGGUUUCCCCUUCGGGGGCAAAAUGACAGGUGGUGUAUGGUUGUCGUCAGCUCGUGUCGUGAGAUGUUGGGUUAAGUCCCGCAACGAGCGCAACCCUUAUGACUAGUUGCCAGCAUUUAGUUGGGCACUCUAGUAAGACUGCCGGUGACAAACCGGAGGAAGGUGGGGAUGACGUCAAAUCAUCAUGCCCCUUAUGACCUGGGCUACACACGUGCUACAAUGGAUGGUACAACGAGUUGCGAGACCGCGAGGUCAAGCUAAUCUCUUAAAGCCAUUCUCAGUUCGGACUGUAGGCUGCAACUCGCCUACACGAAGUAGGAAUCGAUAGUAAUUGAGGAUCAGUACGCCGCGGUGAAUACGUUCCCGG